GAUGAACGCUGGCGGCGUGCCUAAUACAUGCGAGUCGAGCGAACAGACGAGGAGCUUGCUCCUCUGACGUUAGCGGCGGACGGGUGAGUAACACGUGGAUAACCUACCUAUAAGACUGGGAUAACUUCGGGAAACCGGAGCUAAUACCGGAUAAUAUAUUGAACCGCAUGGUUCAAUAGUGAAAGACGGUUUUGCUGUCACUUAUAGAUGGAUCCGCGCCGCAUUAGCUAGUUGGUAAGGUAACGGCUUACCAAGGCAACGAUGCGUAGCCGACCUGAGAGGGUGAUCGGCCACACUGGAACUGAGACACGGUCCAGACUCCUACGGGAGGCAGCAGUAGGGAAUCUUCCGCAAUGGGCGAAAGCCUGACGGAGCAACGCCGCGUGAGUGAUGAAGGUCUUCGGAUCGUAAAACUCUGUUAUUAGGGAAGAACAAAUGUGUAAGUAACUAUGCACGUCUUGACGGUACCUAAUCAGAAAGCACGGCUAACUACGUG
rnacentral:rRNA from 1 species